UAGGGAAUCUUCCGCAAUGGACGCAAGUCUGACGGAGCAACGCCGCGUGAGUGAAGAAGGAUUUCGGUUCGUAAAACUCUGUUGUUAGAGAAGAACAGCGCAUAGAGUAACUGUUAUGCGUGUGACGGUAUCUAACCAGAAAGGGACGGCUAACUACGUGCCAGCAGCCGCGGUAAUACGUAGGUCCCGAGCGUUGUCCGGAUUUAUUGGGCGUAAAGCGAGCGCAGGCGGUUAGAAAAGUCUGAAGUGAAAGGCAGUGGCUCAACCAUUGUAGGCUUUGGAAACUGUUUAAAUUGAGUGCAGAAGGGGAGAGUGGAAUUCCAUGUGUAGCGGUGAAAUGCGUAGAUAUAUGGAGGAACACCAGUGGCGAAGGCGACUCUCUGGUCUGUAACUGACGCUGAGGCUCGAAAGCGUGGGGAGCGAACAGG
rnacentral:rRNA from 1 species